UUGGCUUUGUGAUCAAAGAGCAGUUGACUGAUGCUGGCCAUUAUAACCUCAUUUUUACAAGCAGUAACAUCCAAGCCUAUAAUAGCUCAUGAAGGGCAAAGGGGUAGGGAUGCAUGUGGCUUCAAAAGGAAAACUAUUCCCUGACUCUGGUUAAAGUGGCAAAAUGCAGCAAUCAGAGUAUCUGCAGGUCCGAUCACUCAAAGGAAUGCCUUUCAUGAGAUUAUGUUCUGAUCAUUUAUGAGUUUAUGGUGAGUUUGUUCACUUUAACGUGAAAGUCACCAACCUAAACAGGUCCAUUAAAAAUCGGCUCAACAGGGUAAGCUACGAAAUCCUUGAACGCCAACCGGCUGUAUCAAGUGUCAAUCAUAGAAAACAUGAGCCCCCUAAUAACUUUUAAAAACGGAGCUGCACAGAAAAAAGAGGACUUGAGCACAAACCAGUCUUACAGUAACUACAUGUCAACAUCACAAGCAGGGGAGAGAAAAAAAUAUGUUCUGUGUAAUAAAUUUCUAAAGUUUGUCCACAGCUCCAGAAGCUUUGCUUAUUGACCUAUACUGCAGCCCGUCACCAGAGGGUGCUGUUCUUGGAGUGGCUUCACCCAGCGAGGAGGCAGACGCUGUCCAUUCUAUAUACAGACUAUGGCUGUGAUCCAGAGUUCUUUAUCCAAUUUCUUCAAAACCGUAUUGAUGUUGAUAUGUAGAAAACAGUUUUCAAUUUUAAAAAGCAGCCUGUAAAUUUGAUUGAAAAUUGAUUUGCAAACCAUAAAAAGGAGUUUUCACCCAUUUUUUCACAGUGUUCCAGUUGGGAGGAUAAGAGUUGUAAAGCUGCAUCAUUUGUCGUUCUGACAAUACCCAGAAGUUUAGCGUUGUGGACACUUAAUCUUCCUAAUAGCCGUUAAAUACACCUAAUUUUUCAAAAUAAAACCAUUAAAAUGUCAUUGAGUAAGUGCAGGAGGGAGUUUGGAGGUGCUGAAAAACACCACUGCAGACAGCCAGAGGAGCUGCCUUGUCAGCUGGACAGCCGGAUGUGUGUGUUGGUGAGGGACUUACACCUGCUGUUAGUCUGACACUGUGGUGGUAGCCGGGGUUAGCUGGAGUGAGCUGAGAAGACGAAAGCUUGAGCCAGAGAGGGAUUAUGGCUUUGACGUGUGUGUGUUUGUGUGUGUGUGUGUGUGUGUGUGUGUGUGUGUGUGUGUGUGUAUGUGUUAGUGUGUGAGAGAGUGAAAAGGUGUAUGUUCACAGCAGCUCGCAUACCAAGGCCACAGACAUUGGAGGUGCUCACUCCACAGAGCAGGAACAUUUGUUAGCAAUUAGCCCCGACCACAAAACUGACUUUUACCAGGACACAUGGACCCUUCGUCCCUCCCUGCCCGCCUGCCUCUCUGUUUUCUAUUUUUUUUACCCUGUCCCUUUCCCCGGUCCCUCCCUCCUUCAUUUUCCAGCUCCUUUGUUCUCCUCCCAUCUCUCUCUUUCUCUCUCAGUCUUUCUCAACCCCCCCUCUGCAUCCCUCUCUCGCUCCAUUUCC